UACGAAGGGGGCUAGCGUUGCUCGGAAUCACUGGGCGUAAAGCGCACGUAGGCGGAUCGUUAAGUCGGAGGUGAAAUCCUGGAGCUCAACUCCAGAACUGCCUUCGAUACUGGCGAUCUUGGAGUCCGGGAGAGGUGAGUGGAACUCCGAGUGUAGAGGUGAAAUCGUAGAUAUUCGGAAGAACACCAGUGGCGAAGGCGGCUCACUGGCCCGGUACUGGACGCUGAGGUGGCGAAAGC
rnacentral:rRNA from 1 species